rnacentral:rRNA from 1 species
AACGAACGCUGGCGGCAUGCCUAACACAUGCAAGUCGAACGAGACCUUCGGGUCUAGUGGCGCCCGGGUGCGUAACGCGUCGGAACCUGCCCUUAGGUUCGGAAUAACUCCCCGAAAGGGGUGCUAAUACCGGAUAAUGUCUUCGGACCAAAGAUUUAUCGCCUUUGGUUGGGCCCUCGUUGGAUUAGCUAGUUGGUAGGGUAAAAGCCUACCAAGGCGACGAUCCAUAGCUGGUCUGAGAGGAUGAUCAGCCACACUGAGACUGAGACACGGCCCAGACUCCUACGGGAGGCAGCAGUGGGGAAUAUUGGACAAUGGGCGAAAGCCUGAUCCAGCAAUGCUGCGUGAGUGAUGAAGGCCUUAGGGUUGUAAAGCUCUUUUACCCGGGAUGAUAAUGACAGUACCGGGAGAAUAAGCUCCGGCUAACUCCGUG